AGAGUUUGAUCAUGGCUCAGGACGAACGCUGGCGGCGUGCUUAACACAUGCAAGUCGAACGAUGAUGCCCAGCUUGCUGGGCGGAUUAGUGGCGAACGGGUGAGUAAUACGUGAGUAACCUGCCCUUGACUCUGGGAUAAGCCUGGGAAACUGGGUCUAAUACUGGAUACUACCUCUUACCGCAUGGUGGGUGGUGGAAAGGGUUUUACUGGUUUUGGAUGGGCUCACGGCCUAUCAGCUUGUUGGUGGGGUAAUGGCUCACCAAGGCGACGACGGGUAGCCGGCCUGAGAGGGUGACCGGCCACACUGGGACUGAGACACGGCCCAGACUCCUACGGGAGGCAGCAGUGGGGAAUAUUGCACAAUGGGCGGAAGCCUGAUGCAGCGACGCCGCGUGAGGGAUGACGGCCUUCGGGUUGUAAACCUCUUUCAGUAGGGAGGAAGCGAGAGUGACGGUACCUGCAGAAGAAGCGCCGGCUAACUACGUGCCAGCAGCCGCGGUAAUACGUAGGGCGCAAGCGUUGUCCGGAAUUAUUGGGCGUAAAGAGCUCGUAGGCGGUUUGUCGCGUCUGCUGUGAAAGCCCGGGGCUCAACCCCGGGUCUGCAGUGGGUACGGGCAGACUAGAGUGCAGUAGGGGAGACUGGAAUUCCUGGUGUAGCGGUGAAAUGCGCAGAUAUCAGGAGGAACACCGAUGGCGAAGGCAGGUCUCUGGGCUGUUACUGACGCUGAGGAGCGAAAGCAUGGGGAGCGAACAGGAUUAGAUACCCUGGUAGUCCAUGCCGUAAACGUUGGGCACUAGGUGUGGGGGACAUUCCACGUUUUCCGCGCCGUAGCUAACGCAUUAAGUGCCCCGCCUGGGGAGUACGGCCGCAAGGCUAAAACUCAAAGGAAUUGACGGGGGCCCGCACAAGCGGCGGAGCAUGCGGAUUAAUUCGAUGCAACGCGAAGAACCUUACCAAGGCUUGACAUUCACCGGACCGCCCCAGAGAUGGGGUUUCCCUUCGGGGCUGGUGGACAGGUGGUGCAUGGUUGUCGUCAGCUCGUGUCGUGAGAUGUUGGGUUAAGUCCCGCAACGAGCGCAACCCUCGUUCUAUGUUGCCAGCACGUGAUGGUGGGGACUCAUAGGAGACUGCCGGGGUCAACUCGGAGGAAGGUGGGGAUGACGUCAAAUCAUCAUGCCCCUUAUGUCUUGGGCUUCACGCAUGCUACAAUGGCCGGUACAAAGGGUUGCGAUACUGUGAGGUGGAGCUAAUCCCAAAAAGCCGGUCUCAGUUCGGAUUGAGGUCUGCAACUCGACCUCAUGAAGUCGGAGUCGCUAGUAAUCGCAGAUCGGCAACGCUGCGGUGAAUACGUUCCCGGGCCUUGUACACACCGCCCGUCAAGUCACGAAAGUUGGUAACACCCGAAGCCGGUGGCCUAACCCCUUGUGGGAGGGAGCCGUCGAAGGUGGGACUGGCGAUUGGGACUAAGUCGU
rnacentral:rRNA from 1 species